GGCUGGAUAGCUCAGUUGCUUAGAGCAUGGUGCUGAUAACACCAAGGUUGCAGGUUCGAUCCCCAUAUGGGACA
rnacentral:tRNA from 1 species